ACUGUCAAAGACAUCAUUUACAAUACCAAAGGCUACAUUGUCUGCACAGAUCAAGAAGGGCUGUAAGUCUGGUUAAAGCACAUGGUUUAAUGCCCUGCUGGCUCCAAACAGAUGAUGACAUUGUCAAA